GAAAUGCGAUAAGUAAUGUGAAUUGCAGAAUUCAGUGAAUCAUCGAAUCUUUGAACGCACAUUGCGCCCGCCAGCACUCUGGCGGGCAUGCCUGUUCGAGCAUCAUUUCAACCCUCAGAACCCCUUGCGGGAUCUGGCGUUGGGGAUUGGCAACCAGCCAGCCCCGAAAUCUAGUGGCGGUCCCUCCGCGACCUCCCCUGUGCAGUAGCGAUACCUCGCAGCGGGACAGCGGUCUGACCACGCCGUAAAACCCCCAACUUCUCAAGGUUGACCUCGAAUCAGGUAGGAAUACCCGCUGAACUUAAGC
rnacentral:misc_RNA from 1 species